GCGACCCCAGGUCAGGCGCUACCCCUUG
rnacentral:rRNA from 1 species